UACGUAGGGGGCAAGGCGUUGUCCGGAAUCAUUGGGCGUAAAGCGCGUGUAGGCGGCCCGAUAAGUCCGCUGUGAAAGUCCAGGGCUCAACCCUGGGAUGCCGGUGGAUACUGUCGAGCUCGAGUCCGGAAGAGGCGAGUGGAAUUCCUGGUGUAGCGGUGGAAUGCGCAGAUAUCAGGAGGAACACCAAUAGCGAAGGCAGCUCGCUGGGACGUUACUGACACUAAGGCGCGAAAGCGUGGGGAGCAAACAGG
rnacentral:rRNA from 1 species